rnacentral:rRNA from 1 species
GGGCCCGCACAAGCGGUGGAGUAUGUGGUUUAAUUCGAUGCAACGCGAAGAACCUUACCAGGGUUUGACAUCCUGCGAAUCUCUUGGAAACUUGAGAGUGCCUUCGGGAGCGCAGUGACAGGUGGUGCAUGGCUGUCGUCAGCUCGUGUCGUGAGAUGUUGGGUUAAGUCCCGCAACGAGCGCAACCCACGUCUUUAGUUGCCAGCAGGUUUGGCUGGGCACUCUAACGGGACCGCCGGUGUUAAGCCGGAGGAAGGUGGGGAUGACGUCAAGUCCUCAUGGCCCUUACGGGUAGGGCUACACACGUGCUACAAUGGCAGUGACAGAGAGC